UCCGUAGGCGGGCGACUAAGUCAGAGGUGAAAUCCCACAGCUUAACUGUGGAACUGCCUUUGAUACUGGUUGUCUUGAGUUAUAGUGAAGUAGAUAGAAUAUGUAGUGUAGCGGUGAAAUGCUUAGAUAUUACAUAGAAUACCGAUUGCGAAGGCAGUCUACUAACUAUAUACUGACGCUAAUGGACGAAAGCGUGGGGAGCGAACAGGAUUAGAUACCCUGGUAGUCC
rnacentral:rRNA from 1 species